rnacentral:rRNA from 1 species
AUGAGGCCUCCACCGGGGAAAGAGGCACCUUGGAGUUGCCUUGCUUCGAGAAAGCAACCAAGGUCGUGCUCGAUCUACAUUCUAUUGGCCUCACCCUGCCGCCUUCCGGCGAAUUUACCCGGCUCACCGAUCUGGAGCUGGUUCGCAUACAGCUGCACGGUCCGUGUAGCCUCAGCGACGUUGUCUCUUCACCACGGUGUCAUCUUUGCUUCGCCUUUCCGUUUGCGGCGUCAGGGCUCUGGACAAGCUCGCAAUCCACUCAGAAUCUCUCCUGCAAUUGGAACUGAGUGGUCUGCAUACCUUGCAGCAGCUCAAUAUCGUUGCCUUGUCUCUCCAAAAACUAAAAGUAAAACUUUGCUUCACCGAUGCUCCGAAUCAAAGUCAACCAGUUGCUGA